rnacentral:rRNA from 1 species
ACCAAGGUGAGGCCCUAUGGGUUUCGCCAUUGGAAUGAGAACUAUAUAAAUCUUUUAACGAGUAACAAGUGGAGGGCAAGUCUGGUGCCAGCAGCCGCGGUAAUUCCAGCUCCACAAGUGUAUUCCUAUAUUGUUGCGGUUAAAAAGCUCGUAGUUGGAUCUGAGUGCUUAGCGGGUGGUACAGUGUUUCACUGUCACUGCUUCGCGGCACAUAACCGUCGACUGGCUGCUGUUGUUGCCUUCACCGGUGACGGCAGUUAGCUAUCGACAUGUUUUACUUUGAACAAAUCAGAGUGCUCAAAACAGGCGUUUCGCUUGUAUGUUUUUGCAUGGAAUAAUAGAAUAGGACCUUGGGUCUAUUUUGUUGGUUUUCGGAAUCAAGGUAAUGAUUAAGAGGGACAGACGGGGGCAUUCGUACUGCAACGGGAGAGGUGAAAUUCUUGGAUCGUUGCAAGACGAACUACUGCGAAAGCAUUUGCCAAGAAUGUUUUCAUUAAUCAAGAACGAAAGUAACGGGUUCGAAGGCGAUCAGAUACCGCCCUAGUCGUUACCGUAAACGAUUGUAACCGGGAGCUAGCAGGCGCUUUACUAUGGCUCUGCUAGAACCCACCCGGAAACGAAGAGUUUUCGAUAUCCGGGGGAAGUAUACUUGCAAAUGUGAAACUUAAAGGAAUUGACGGAAGGGCACCACCAGGGGUGGAGCCUGCGGCGUAAUUUGACCCAACACGGGGAAACUCAUCCGGUCCGGACACCGUAAGGAUUGACAGAUUGAGAGCUCUUUCUUGAUUUGGUGGGCAGUGGUGCAUGGCCGUUCUUAGUUGGUGGAGUGAUUUGUCUGGUUUACUCCGAUAACGAACGAGACUCUAGCCUACUAACUAGUUAUGCGAUCUUCUUGUCGUAUUAACUUCUUAGAGGGACAAGCGGUGCUCAGCCGCAUGAAAAAGAGCAAUAACAGGUCUGUGAUGCCCUUCGAUGUUCGGAGCUGCACGCGCGCUACACUGUAGAAUGCAACGUGCUAGCUUGCCUCGCUCGCAAGAGUGGGGUAAUCGGUUGAAAUUUCUACGUGAUUGGGAUAGGGACUUGUAAUUAUUUCCCUUGAACGAGGAAUCCCUAGUAAGUGCAGGUCAUCAGCUUGUGCUGAUUACGUCCCUGCCCUUUGUACACACCGCCCGUCGCUGCCCGGAACUGAGCCAUUUCGAGAAAAAUGGGGACUGAUUGCUUGUGAGCACGCAAGUGCUUCUUGCAGUCGGAAACCAUCU